rnacentral:tRNA from 1 species
GCCCGCUAUCGGAGUCGAACCGAUGACCAUC